rnacentral:lncRNA from 1 species
CCCAAUGCUUACCAUGCCACUUGUAGAGAGUACGAUGAUUACUGCGAGUUUAUUAAGCUGUCAGAAAGUGAAGAAACCUCAACGAGUUUGAGGAUUUUUUGUGGGCUUUAACAAGGCUUUUUUCCUAAUCUAUGGGUGACGGAAACUGGGGAAAAUUUAGAGUGAGAAGUGUUUUCAGGGUGAAGUUAGAGAGAGAGAGAGAGAGA